CAGAGGGAUAGCCCAGAGAAAUUUGGAUUAAUACCUCAUAGUAUAGCAGUUUCGCAUGAAACCACUAUUAAAGCCACAACGGUAAAAGAUGAGCAUGCGUCCCAUUAGCUAGUUGGUAAGGUAACGGCUUACCAAGGCUACGAUGGGUAGGGGUCCUGAGAGGGAGAUCCCCCACACUGGUACUGAGACACGGACCAGACUCCUACGGGAGGCAGCAGUGAGGAAUAUUGGACAAUGGGCGCAAGCCUGAUCCAGCCAUGCCGCGUGCAGGAUGACGGUCCUAUGGAUUGUAAACUGCUUUUGUACGAGAAGAAACACUCCUAUGUAUAGGAGCUUGACGGUAUCGUAAGAAUAAGGAUCGGCUAACUCCGUGCCAGCAGCCGCGGUAAUACGGAGGAUCCAAGCGUUAUCCGGAAUCAUUGGGUUUAAAGGGUCCGUAGGCGGUUUAGUAAGUCAGUGGUGAAAGCCCAUCGCUCAACGGUGGAACGGCCAUUGAUACUGCUGAACUUGAAUUAUUAGGAAGUAACUAGAAUAUGUAGUGUAGCGGUGAAUGCUUAGAGAUUACAUGGAAUACCAAUUGCGAAGGCAGGUUACUACUAAUUGAUUGACGCUGA
rnacentral:rRNA from 1 species